GAGGGGGAAGGGAAAAGACCGAGCGGUGGAGGGAAGAGGGAGCCAUUUCUCUCCACUGGCUGCAACCUCCGUGCUCACAGCUCACGUUUGCCCGGAAUCCAGGGGCUUCCUCAGCCAAGGACUCCAUAAUGCUGGAUAUUUUCAUCCUGAUGUUCUUUGCCAUCAUAGGCCUGGUCAUUCUGUCCUACAUUAUCUAUCUGCUCUAGUUCCAGAAGGAACAGCUGCGGCGGGGAGCCCUCAGAACAGCUCAGGAUGAAGCUGGCCGAGCAUCCUGCUUUGCUGACGCACCGGUGGAUUUUUGCUUCUGGUCAUUAUUUCGGCUCCUGGUCUCCAGUCCAACCAGAGGCCUCUUAUCAGCAGCAACCGUCCUGCUGCCCAGCAGACCUCUUCCAGAGCCUUCCGGAUAUGGUUAACCACUGGCGAGCAAGGGGCUUUUUGAGCUCCGAGGCAGAGGCCCUCAGCUGGGACCUCAGGAAUUCGUGGGCAUGCCUGGCAGAUGCCGUGUGCGUUCGAGCCGUAUGUAGAUAGAGGGUGUUGAGGACACGGAGCUGAAAUGCAGACUCAUUAAAGUUACCAUGGAGAACUGCUCAAAUACUCAUCCUGACAGCCUUUCUUUAGGUAUUUUAUUUAUCCAUUCGACAGAGAGAGGCACGGUGAGAGAGGGAACACAAGCAGGGGGAGCGGGAGAGGGAGAAGCAGGCUUCCCGCUGAGCAGGGAGCCCGACGUGGGGCUCGAUCCCAGGACCCUGGGAUCACGACCCGAGCCGAAGGCAGAUGCUCAACAACUGAGCCACCCAGGAAGAAAAUGAAACCAGGAGAAAAGCAAGAACUUUGUUUCUGCAUGAAUAUGCAAAUACUAAACUCCAGAGAAAAAAAUUCCUGCCACGGAUGAAAUUAUGGUUGGACGAUUCAUCAGGGAAAGGUAGUUAAUUUCUGAUAUUUUAAAAACUAAGAGACAGAAAGAGGCAGAGGGAGAAGCAGGCUCCCAAGGAGCAGGGAGCCCGAUGCGGGACUCGAUCCCAGGACCCUGAGAUCACGACCUGAGCCGAAGGCAGAUGCUUAACCAUCUGAGCCACCCAGAGAGAGACACAGCGAGAGAGGGAACACAAGCAGGGGAAGUGGGAGAGGAAGAAGCAGGCUUCCCGCCGAGCAGGGAGCCCGACGCGGGGCUCGAUCCCAGGACCCCAGGAUCAUGACCUGAGACGAAGGCAGACGCUUAACGACUGAGCCACCCAGGCGCCCCGCUUUUUUUCUAUUUUAAUAUCUGUAUAAUAUUAUCUGUGAAUUGUAGUUUUUUUACCUGGUUUGCUGCAGACAACAGUCUGCAUCUUGCGGGAGAGAUUAGUCAGCUCACAUAAGAAGAUAUAUACACGAUGGCACUCGAGUUCAUCCCAACCUGCUGUUAAGGUCUGAGAAUAAUAAAAUAAAGGAAACAUUACGGAUGUUCAGACCAUCAAAUCAAAAUGUGCUCUGCUAUACCCUUUAGAGACCAACUUUUAAAAUUUCUUCCUACUAAAAUAGAGUCAGAUGUAAUGUUCUUUUCACACUGGCCAUCUGCGCUGUCUUGUAUGAAGAAGCAAAUUAAAAUUUUUAAUCUUCAGAGCACAGAAUUCUGGAAAUGUUAUUUUAAUGUCUGAAAACAAGAACGGAUCAGAUAGGAAUGGCAACAUGAGAAAAUGGUUUUCCAAGCUCUGUGUAUGGAGCCAGUGUUAUUUGUUUUAUCAGAAAAAAUAUUAAUAAUAUGCACUGUUGCAUAUUACGGUACCAUAAAUGGAAGGGUUGGAAAGUAGUUUUGGAAGUUUUAAUGAGUAUCAUUAUAAACUGAAAGAUGGUAAUAAAUAAAUGUAUUCAACUACCUAAGCCUGUUGAUAGUUCUGUCUGGGAAGUCACGAGGCAGAAGGAACAGAAAGCACAGCCAUUAGUGGGUAUUACCUCUUUUUCCCCAAAUCUUUUCCUGAUCUCCUUUCAAAAGAAGCCCUACCCCAAGGUUAAUUUUUAGAAGGAAGUAGGAUUCUAAUUUUAUUGCCCUUCAGAUUACAUCAAGCUCCUGGCAAGUAUACAACAAAACCCUGAGAUAAUGUGGAUUCAGAUAUGAAGGGACUAGCUGUUGGCUCCCACCCUCUCAAGCUGACUCAACCCCAACCGGCUAUAUAUUUAGUCCUAUAUUUUAUAUUUUAUGAUUGAAUUAUUCAGACUGCUCUUUUAGCGUUAUGAUGGGAAUUCUGGAAAGUGGUUUUGCUUUAAAAUUAAGGCCGAUGAACCACAGAGUGGGAGCAAAUACUUGCAAAAGACAUAGUUUAUAAAGGACUGUUAUCCAAAAUAUACAAGAACUUCUAAAACUCAACUGUAAGAAAAUGAACAACCUAACUGAACAAUGAGCAAAAGACCUGAAGAGAUACCUCACAGAAAAAGAUACACAAAUAGCAAAUAAGCAGAUGAUAACAUGCUCCACAUCAUCAUGUUGUCAUCAAGGAAUUGCAAAUUUAAACAACCAUCCCAGGACACACUUAUUAGAAUGGCCUGAAUCCCAAACUCUGACAAUACCAGAUGCUGAUUUUAUUUAUUUAUUUGAGAGAGAGAAUGAGACAGAGAGAGAGAGCAUGAGAUGGGAGAGGAUCAGAGGGAGAAGCAGACUCCCUGCUGAGCAGGGAGCCUGAUGCAGGACUCAAUCCCGGGACUCCAGAAUCAUGACCUGAGCCGAAGGCAGUCGCUUAACCAACUGAGCCACCCAGGCGCCCUAGCCCUGACUCCAGGAGGCAUAACUCUUUCCUCCGAUGGUCUUCAGACCCCUUUGACAUCCACACAGUGUACAGAAAACCAGUGAUUCGGUGAGCGAACCUUGUGCUGGAGACGCAGAGAGCGACAGCAUCACCCAGCCUUCUGGGGUCAGCAACUGGAGAUGGAGAGCCGUCACCAGCAGCAACCAGGCUUCCACAGUAAGGGGGGACAGCCCAGAGAGGUUAGGGGGCAGCUCCAGCUCAAGAAGGAAGAAUGCAGAUGGACCCAGAGCCAGGGACCCUUGGCUAGGACUAGCACCACUCUCGUGCUGAGGAGAAGCUGAGAGUAGACCCAGUGUGGCCUCUUUAGUCUGUUGUACAUGGCGUGUAGAGCAAACCUCACAGAGUCCUGGGGAACAUUCCAAAUCUCACGUGCCACCAAUGCUUUCCUGAGUUCUCCAGGUCACCCAUUACUGCUGUCACCUUUCAACUCCCACGACGUGUUAUUUUUACAUCUGCUGUGGCAGUUGGUGUGUUCUGCCUUGGAGAUCUGCUUAUCUGUGUACUUUGUCUUAUCCACCCUACUAGACUUCUCAGGACGGGGACCGCAAGCCCUGUGGCAUGAGAAAAGGAGGUUAAUAAAGUAU